AUGAGUUCCAACACUCAUUUGGUUUACAAGACUUCAUUCUAUCCAAUCUUCCGAUUUAGGUUUGAAGUUCUUUUGAUUGAGGAUAGUUUGCACUUCAUGUGAAUACAUAGUUCCCCUAUUUUACUGUUUUCAAUUGUUUUGGGGUGAUUCAUAUGUUAAACGAUUUUCAAGGUUUAAACGAUGGUUUUUCAAAAGCGAUUAAAAUGGUUUAUGUUAAAUUAAUAACGAUUUCA
rnacentral:lncRNA from 1 species